ACUCAUUUUUAGCUAUUCAGUUUCUGUUCUUGUAUUUUACAAAUCAUGGUAAUGAAUUUAUAGAAAGAAUUUUUAGAUACUCCGAUCGUUUUUUUUUUCUGGCAUUCACUUCUGGUCAGGAUUUGUAUUCAGGCACCACGAAUCAUAGACUAAUUGGACUGUUUGUUUAUGACUGGAUGUUUUAUCCUCUGGUUCAACAGUUCUAGUACUUGUGUCCCUUGGUUCAAUUUCUACUAGUAUAUGCUAUAACUUUCUAGUCACUAGCAUUGUUUAUAAACCCCAAGUCCUGGUUUUGCCUCAUUAAAUUUAUAUGUUGCAGAAAUUAAAGGCUAGAAUUUUCUUUAAAAGAAUUAUUGGCACUGUUGUGCGAUCUAUGCAAGCGGAUCAAAAGGAGCAAGUUUGCCGUGUCUACUAUGCCUAAGAUGUAUGCGGGACACAUGUAUACCUGAUAAGAAGAUGCUUAAAGAUCCAAGGAGGCUGUAUGCACCUGGCCGUCUCUAUCAUAUUGUUGAGAGAAAGCCUUGCAGAUCAAAGUUUCAAACUUUGCACUUAUUAGUGCAUUUAUGACGGAGUUGGAAGCUGAACACCUGUUAUCCAGAACGUUAGAGUCAACUAGCUGUCAGUCUGCUGAUCAGGUGGAAGCAACAUUAGUUAACAAAGGAGUCAGAGUAAUAUCCGAAGAAUCAACCUGUUGGUGUUGUGCUUGUGCGGGCGUGGCUGGCCAGAGAUAGCUAAUACAUGGGAACCCUUGGAGAAUCUCCAAUCUGUCUCUGAUGUUAUAGAAGCAUUUGAAAAAAGUGGGCGGUAAAGACGCGGAAAUCAUAUAGCCAAAAUCAAAUUGACGAGGUGUGCAUUGAAGUGGCUGAUUAUAUACAGAGUUUGAUGUAGGACUGUGACUGCCAAGAUGUUUUUUGAGUAAGGCUAGCUAGUUUUGGCUUUGAAGCAAACCUUGGUGUGGAACUUUUGUACAUUGUUGCUCAUAUGUUUCCAAGCUAGCUUUUGUAAGUUUAGGGGUUUAUUUUCUGAAUUAUGUUGAAUCAUGAAUUUGGAAAGAAAAUUAAUGGAAAGCCCCUAAUUUUGGAUGAUGAGAAAUGCACUUUUUUUCCCAGCAAUAGCU